GGUGUGUGAAGUCAAGUGACCCGCGCAAUUUACCCCCUGUGCGCCCAAUGACUGCACACACUUUACCCAUCCAGAACGUUCCAAAGGAACUCAUUCCAGGACAGGCCAUGAACUAUUCAAACCCCAUCUAUUCAAAGAUGACAUACCAUGACGGACAGCACUGUCGAAAACCAGUCAUCAACCUCGACAUGAGACGCGAUUUACUCCCAAAGAGACUGGAAACGACAAUUCGAGAAACGGCAGCGUAACCUAGUUUUUCCACAACCUGCUUUGUUUUUUUUUGUUUUUUUUAUAAAGAUCUGUAUAAAAU